UACGGAGGGAGCUAGCGUUGUUCGGAAUUACUGGGCGUAAAGCGCGCGUAGGCGGCUAUUCAAGUCAGAGGUGAAAGCCCGGGGCUCAACCCCGGAACUGCCUUUGAAACUAGGUAGCUAGAAUCUUGGAGAGGUCAGUGGAAUUCCGAGUGUAGAGGUGAAAUUCGUAGAUAUUCGGAAGAACACCAGUGGCGAAGGCGACUGACUGGACAAGUAUUGACGCUGAGGUGCGAAAGCGUGGGAGCAAACAGGG
rnacentral:rRNA from 1 species